rnacentral:rRNA from 1 species
UACGUAGGGUGCGAGCGUUGUCCGGAAUUAUUGGGCGUAAAGAGCUCGUAGGCGGUGUGUCGCGUCGGCCGUGAAAACCUGCAGCUUAACUGUGGGCUUGCGGUCGAUACGGGCAUCACUGGAGUUCGGCAGGGGAGACUGGAAUUCCUGGUGUAGCGGUGAAAUGCGCAGAUAUCAGGAGGAACACCGGUGGCGAAGGCGGGUCUCUGGGCCGGUACUGACGCUGAUGCGCGAAAGCGUGGGGAGCAAACAGG